rnacentral:rRNA from 1 species
AGCGUUGUUCGGAAUUACUGGGCGUAAAGGGCUCGUAGGCGGCCAACUAAGUCGGACGUGAAAUCCCUCAGCUUAACUGGGGAACUGCGUCCGAUACUGGAUGGCUUGGAUUUGGGAGAGGGAUGCGGAAUUCCAGGUGUAGCGGUGAAAUGCGUAGAUAUCUGGAGGAACACCGGUGGCGAAGGCGGCAUCCUGGACCAAUAUUGACGCUGAGGAGCGAAAGCUAGGGGAGCAAACGGG